AGAGUUUGAUCCUGGCACAGAGCGAACGCUGGCGGCAUGCUUAACACAUGCAAGUCGCACGGGCAGGGGUAACUCUGUCAGUGGCGGACGGGUGAGUAACGCGUAGGUAUCUAUCCUUGGGUGGGGGACAACGGUUGGAAACGACUGCUAAUACCGCAUGAUAACUGAGGUUUAAAGGCGCAAGUCGCCUGGGGAGGAGCCUGCGUACGAUUAGCUUGUUGGUGGGGUAAAGGCCUACCAAGGCGACGAUCGUUAGCUGGUCUGAGAGGAUGAUCAGCCACAUUGGGACUGAGACACGGCCCAAACUCCUACGGGAGGCAGCAGUGGGGAAUAUUGGACAAUGGGCGAAAGCCUGAUCCAGCAAUGCCGCGUGUGUGAAGAAGGUCUUCGGAUUGUAAAGCACUUUCGGCGGGGACGAUGAUGACGGUACCCGCAGAAGAAGCCCCGGCUAACUUCGUGCCAGCAGCCGCGGUAAUACGAAGGGGGCUAGCGUUGCUCGGAAUGACUGGGCGUAAAGGGCGCGUAGGCGGAUGGCACAGUCAGAUGUGAAAUUCCCGGGCUUAACCUGGGGGCUGCAUUUGAUACGUGUUGUCUAGAGUGAGGAAGAGGGUCGUGGAAUUCCCAGUGUAGAGGUGAAAUUCGUAGAUAUUGGGAAGAACACCGGUGGCGAAGGCGGCGACCUGGUCCUUGACUGACGCUGAGGCGCGAAAGCGUGGGGAGCAAACAGGAUUAGAUACCCUGGUAGUCCACGCUGUAAACGAUGUGUGCUGGAUGUUGGGCGACCUAGUCGCUCAGUGUCGUAGCUAACGCGAUAAGCACAC
rnacentral:rRNA from 1 species